rnacentral:rRNA from 1 species
UACGAAGGGUACAAGCGUUGUUCGGAAUUACUGGGCGUAAAGCGCGCGUAGGCGGACGCGUAAGUCGAUUGUGAAAUCCCUGGGCUUAACCUGGGAACUGCAGUCGAAACUGCGUGUCUUGAGUGCCUGAGAGGAUGGCGGAAUUCCCGGUGUAGUAGUGAAAUUCGUAGAUAUUGGGAAGAACACCGGUGGCGAAGGCGGCGACCUGGUCCUUGACUGACGCUGAGGCGCGAAAGCGUGGGGAGCAAACAGG